rnacentral:rRNA from 1 species
GACGAACGCUGGCGGCGUGCCUAAUACAUGCAAGUAGAACGCUGAAGGAGGAGCUUGCUCUUCUGGAUGAGUUGCGAACGGGUGAGUAACGCGUAGGUAACCUGCCUGGUAGCGGGGGAUAACUAGUGGAAACGAUAGCUAAUACCGCAUAACAGUAGAUGUUGCAUGACAUUUACUUAAAAGGUGCAAUUGCAUCACUACCAGAUGGACCUGCGUUGUAUUAGCUAGUUGGUGGGGUAACGGCUCACCAAGGCGACGAUACAUAGCCGACCUGAGAGGGUGAUCGGCCACACUGGGACUGAGACACGGCCCAGACUCCUACGGGAGGCAGCAGUAGGGAAUCUUCGGCAAUGGACGGAAGUCUGACCGAGCAACGCCGCGUGAGUGAAGAAGGUUUUCGGAUCGUAAAGCUCUGUUGCAAGAGAAGAACGAGUGUGAGAGUGGAAAGUUCACACUGUGACGGUAUCUUACCAGAAAGGGACGGCUAACUACGUG